rnacentral:rRNA from 1 species
GACGAACGCUGGCGGCGUGCUUAACACAUGCAAGUCGAACGGAAAGGCCCCCAUCUUGGUGGGGGUGCUCGAGUGGCGAACGGGUGAGUAACACGUGGGUGAUCUGCCCUGUACUUCGGGAUAAGCUUGGGAAACUGGGUCUAAUACCGGAUAGGACCAUGGUUUAGUGUCUCAUGGUGGAAAGAUUAUUGUUUUGGUGCAGGAUGAGCUCGCGGCCUAUCAGCUUGUUGGUGGGGUAAUGGCCUACCAAGGCGUCGACGGGUAGCCGGCCUGGGAGGGUGGACGGCCCCAUUGGGACUGAGAUACGGCACAGACUCCUACGGGACGGAGCAGUGGGGAAUAUUGCACGAUGGGAGCAAGCCUGAUGCCGCGACGCCGCGUGGGGGAUGACUGCCUUCGGGUUGUAAACUCCUUUCGUUAGGGACGAAGCCGCACUUUUUUUGGGUGUGGUGACGGUACCUUUGUUAAGAAGCACCGGCUAACUACGUG